rnacentral:rRNA from 1 species
CGGUAGCACAGAGAGCUUGCUCUCGGGUGACGAGUGGCGGACGGGUGAGUAAUGUCUGGGAAACUGCCUGAUGGAGGGGGAUAACUACUGGAAACGGUAGCUAAUACCGCAUAACGUCGCAAGACCAAAGAGGGGGACCUUCGGGCCUCUUGCCAUCAGAUGUGCCCAGAUGGGAUUAGCUAGUAGGUGGGGUAACGGCUCACCUAGGCGACGAUCCCUAGCUGGUCUGAGAGGAUGACCAGCCACACUGGAACUGAGACACGGUCCAGACUCCUACGGGAGGCAGCAGUGGGGAAUAUUGCACAAUGGGCGCAAGCCUGAUGCAGCCAUGCCGCGUGUAUGAAGAAGGCCUUCGGGUUGUAAAGUACUUUCAGCGGGGAGGAAGGUGUUGUGGUUAAUAACCACAGCAAUUGACGUUACCCGCAGAAGAAGCACCGGCUAACUCCGUGCCAGCAGCCGCGGUAAUACGGAGGGUGCAAGCGUUAAUCGGAAUUACUGGGCGUAAAGCGCACGCAGGCGGUCUGUCAAGUCGGAUGUGAAAUCCCCGGGCUCAACCUGGGAACUGCAUUCGAAACUGGCAGGCUGGAGUCUUGUAGAGGGGGGUAGAAUUCCAGGUGUAGCGGUGAAAUGCGUAGAGAUCUGGAGGAAUACCGGUGGCGAAGGCGGCCCCCUGGACAAAGACUGACGCUCAGGUGCGAAAGCGUGUGGAGCAAACAGGAUUAGAUACCCUGGUAGUCCACGCCGUAAACGAUGUCGAUUUGGAGGUUGUGCCCUUGAGGCGUGGCUUCCGGAGCUAACGCGUUAAAUCGACCGCCUGGGGAGUACGGCCGCAAGGUUAAAACUCAAAUGAAUUGACGGGGGCCCGCACAAGCGGUGGAGCAUGUGGUUUAAUUCGAUGCAACGCGAAGAACCUUACCUGGUCUUGACAUCCACAGAACUUUCCA